AAAAGGAUAUUAAGUGAAUAGAAUUGGGAUAUAGAUGGAAUAUAAUGAAAUAGAGCCACUUUGAGGUUCCCUAUGAAAUGAGGCAUGGAACGGAGCCACUACGAAGAAGUUCCGGGAGUUACGAAGGAAACUUCAGACUCAUAUUAUUCAUGGGUUGAGAACAGGGGUUGAACUCUAUGAGGUCAAAUCUCCCGUUGUUCCU
rnacentral:lncRNA from 1 species